rnacentral:lncRNA from 1 species
AAAAAAAAAAAAAAAGUUUGAUAUAUGAGAUUGUCAAGGAAUCUAAGUAGAAACAACAAAAAAAAAACAAUUGAUAUGGGUUUCAAUAACAAUAAUCAAGAGUGUCCAAGUCUAAAGAAGAAAUUCAUAGAUGAUACAGACUGAUAGAAGGAUAGGGUUUUGUAAGGCUCUCUGGAAUUCAACGUCCAACAAGAACAAUAUAUUUACGAAAGAACAGUCACUAUACACAUCAAAUUAAGGUUAUGAAGAUCCUCUAAUAUUUACUUAUGGAGUAGAAAUAUGUAUUUCUUUUGAGUGCUUAAUUUAUAUGAGCACUGUAUGCAGUAUCCCAUCAAGAAUUGUAUGCCACAGAGAAAAAUAUGCUAAAAAAAAACUCGGCCACAGAAUAAAGCAGUCUCCUGUUUCUAAUAAUCUAUUUACAAAAAUUUAACACCCAAUAACAACGCAAUGACAAAUUCAGUCUCUUGUUUCCAAAAUAGUUAAAGAAAGUUCUUGGCAGGAAAAUGAAGGAAAGGAAAAAUUAAGGAGAAGAUUAUGCAGUGGGAGAGAGCCUUGUACACUAUCAACCACUGUUCCCUUCUUUUUUUUUAACAAAAAAAGAGUUUCCCUAGGUGAAUAAAGCAAUUUGAUCCGUAUAUUGAAACUCAU